UACGGGGGGAGCAAGCGUUGUUCGGAUUUACUGGGCGUAAAGGGCGCGUAGGCGGUCAGCACAAGUCAGUUGUGAAAUCUCCGGGCUUAACUCGGAAAGGUCAACUGAUACUGUGCGACUAGAGUGCAGAAGGGGCAACUGGAAUUCUCGGUGUAGCGGUGAAAUGCGUAGAUAUCUGGAGGAACACCGGUGGCGAAGGCGGGUCUCUGGGCAGUAACUGACGCUGAGGAGCGAAAGCGUGGGGAGCGAACAGG
rnacentral:rRNA from 1 species